AGGGUUUCAGAAUUUCCGCAUUUUGAAAUACGAUUUACGUAUACUCGAGGUAUACUUAAGAGUCUUUGGUUUUGAAUCCAUCACACAUUCCGAAAAAUAAUUGUUCAUUGGUAAAAACCUUAUCGUUAAUACACAGAUCGCCAUGGAAAUUCAUCAACUCCCGGAACGCGCACGGCUGCUAUCGCUCCCAUUCCUCCUUUUCCACCAGCGCAAUCCGUUGCCGUACCAAUAUGGCCGCUACCGCACGUGUUUUGUCGCCCAUAAGCCUGUUAGUUUGCGCUUUUUUUAAUUCAGGAUUUUUCAGACUGAACCUUUCGCCCGUCCUUGUCGUCUCGCCUUCGCCACGGAAGCGUUUCGUUAUCAGCACGAAUGUAACGUGAUACCUGAUGGGAACAAGGAGAAUCCGAAUGCUGCUGCUACGAUGCAGCGUUUUGCAGCGAAUAUGGUACCGUUGGACGAUGAUGUUCCCGCGCCGGUGCGGAAAGUGGCCGCUGUUCCUCUCGUUGAUCCCCGUCCGCCCAGCUACCGCAAUGGGAAAGAGCAAGCCCAGCUAACCGAUCGGUGACCACCGGCCGAGAAGUCACUCGACUCUUUUGCGAACCAAGACCGUUCUUGUGCCACUAUCUGCGAUAAGCAGCAAAUGUGGAAGCAACCGGCAACGCUCGGCUUACUCGUCUUUUUGUUAUGUUUUACGUCGUCAGUUGUCUCAUCAGUUGUAUAAUUUUUUUAGCUGAUCUUGCGCUUUUAUUGCUGAGAAUUUUCCAGAAGUUUCUGAACAGCGAGUUUUUUACGUUCAUUUGAAAUGCGUAUCCUGUGUCAAAUAGAAUGAUCAGUUUUCUGCAAACUGUGUUCGUCAAACACUUUAAUGUUUUUACAUGAAAUGUACGUUGUGGACAAUA